GCGGGUGUCGUAUAAUGGCUAUUACCCUAGCCUUCCAAGCUAGAGACGUGAGUUCGAUUCUCAUCACCCGCUCCA
rnacentral:tRNA from 1 species